rnacentral:lncRNA from 10 species
CUCAGACAACACAUGAUCUCUACCUGCCACUUGCCUAAUUCUGUUGACAGAAACUGCUUUCAAUAUGACUGUUGAAAUUUAAAGUGUAAGCUGCUAUAUGAAGGGAUCCACAAGACGAAUAAUUAAGGGGGACCUCUGAUCAACAGCCAGCAAGGAACUGAAUCCCUCAGACCCACAACUCACAAGAAACUGAAGCUGAAGCAGAUUCUUCCUCAGUCAAGCUUCAGGUGCCCAGCUGUAUUGGUAGAGGAGACCAACCACACCCUCCACAGCACAGCACCUGGAGAGGAACUGCUGCCAUGACCAUAGAGGACACCCUCUGGAUACAAUGCCAGACUUGAUGUGGGACUGACCAACCUAUGGACCCCAGGCACCACCACCCAGACCUGCUCAGCACCUGAAACAUUCACAGCCGUGGAGAGAGAACUGUUCACUGCUACCAUCCACACUUCUGGGCCCCUUCAGCAGCAGGGUGACAAGGAAGAGGGAAAUCGACUUGGAAAAGAGGGGCGAAAAGGAGGCUUAAGGACAUAAUUUGGC